rnacentral:rRNA from 1 species
AUUGAACGCUGGCGGCAGGCCUAACACAUGCAAGUCGAGCGGAUGAAGGGAGCUUGCUCCUGGAUUCAGCGGCGGACGGGUGAGUAAUGCCUAGGAAUCUGCCUGGUAGUGGGGGAUAACGUCCGGAAACGGGCGCUAAUACCGCAUACGUCCUGAGGGAGAAAGUGGGGGAUCUUCGGACCUCACGCUGUCAGAUGAGCCUAGGUCGGAUUAGCUAGUUGGUGGGGUAAAGGCCUACCAAGGCGACGAUCCGUAACUGGUCUGAGAGGAUGGUCAGUCACACUGGAACUGAGACACGGUCCAGACUCCUACGGGAGGCAGCAGUGGGGAAUAUUGGACAAUGGGCGAAAGCCUGAUCCAGCCAUGCCGCGUGUGUGAAGAAGGUCUUCGGAUUGUAAAGCACUUUAAGUUGGGAGGAAGGGCAGUAAGUUAAUACCUUGCUGUUUUGACGUUACCAACAGAAUAAGCACCGGCUAACUUCGUG